UCAGCGUCACCAAAGACAAUAAGUCUCGCCU
rnacentral:sRNA from 1 species